rnacentral:rRNA from 1 species
UACGAAGGGUGCAAGCGUUACUCGGAAUUACUGGGCGUAAAGCGUGCGUAGGUGGUGAGUUAAGUCUGAUGUGAAAUCCCCGGGCUCAACCUGGGAAUGGCAUUGGAUACUGGCUCGCUAGAGUGCGGUAGAGGGUGGUGGAAUUCCCGGUGUAGCGGUGAAAUGCGCAGAUAUCGGGAAGAACACCCGUGGCGAAGGCGGCACUCUGGGACGGUACUGACGCUGAGACGCGAAAGCGUGGGGAGCGAACAGG